rnacentral:miRNA from 1 species
UUUGCAUUGGGUUGGCCAAAAUGUUUGUUCAGGUUUUAAUAGCAUGUAGGAAAACCCAAACAAACUUUUUGGCCAACCCUACA